rnacentral:rRNA from 1 species
GUCUGCGGCCAUACCACUUUGAAAGCACCAGUUCUCAUCCGAUCACUGAAGAUAAGCAACGUCGGGCUCGGUUAGUGCUUGGAUGGGUGACCGCCUGGGAACACCGAGUGCUGUAGACG